rnacentral:lncRNA from 1 species
UGUAUUAUUAAUCAGGGUAAUGCCACCUUUUUAUGUAUAUUUAUAUAAUAUAUGUCACAUAUGCAUAUAUAAAUUCAUAUAUACAUUAUAUAAAAUUAGCUUUAAAGUAAGUUUUUAGUGUUAUGAUGCUCUCUAGCAUAAAAUGGCACAGAGUCUAGACCCUCCUUUUUUCCUUCUGAAUUCAAAAUCUGUCCUCUGCUCCUUCUGCUUGUCCUUCCCGUCCACAGGUGCUAGAGAUGAGUCAGACAGUAGAAUCUUGCUGUUGUUGUUUUUCUUUUUGUUUUGUCAGACAGUUUCUCUGUGCAAUCUCUAUUGUUGUCCUAGAACUUUCUAGGUAGACCAGGCUGCCCUAAAACUCAUGCCGAAAUGAGGAAUGUCCCACCUAGGUAACAUAAUAAUUCUUACUGUGUUUACCUAGCAUUAUGCAUCAAAGGAAGAAAAUGCAUGGCCUUGUCAAUGCCCUUCUGAAACAGGCCACUUCAGUACAGUUCCUGCUAGAACCUGUCAGCCAGGGGAAGGGGCCAGAUAUGAGGAUCAGCAGAACAAAACAUUGUGAAAAGCAUAUAGAGAAAUCGAUUGGUUUAUAUGCUGCUUUUAAAAUGCAAAAUGGAAAUAUUCUGCAGCAUUAGAUGAAAGAAUACUAGUCAGAGUGAGUUCUAGGACCGCCAAGGCUUCACAGAGAAACCCUGCUCAAAAAACCAAGGAAACAAAAAAGAAGAAAAGAAAGAAUGUUAUGGACCAGGGAAAAUUUGUAAGAAAAAUUAGGAGUUGGGGAGAUAGUUUGAAGCACAUAAAAAGUCACAAUACAUUAUUUA